rnacentral:lncRNA from 1 species
AACUCCCCUGCUUUCUUUAUAACAGAACCUGGUUUCACAACCAGGGUCCAGCCCUGGGCGUGAGUUACGGGGCAUGCCUGGUACGGAUGGUCUAAUAUGGGGCAUGCCUGGCUUCCAAGUCGCUGACCUCAGAGAAACUAAGACAGUGUCAGAAGACCGCUGCGAGGGAGCAAAGAGGUCCCUUCCUCCCCCCAGAAAAAGCGAUAGCCCGGGACUGACUGCCCUUCUCCCUCUGACUGUGGUGUGAGGCCAUGGUUUCCUGGCACAUUGACCAUCCUGUGACCUUGGCCGGCACAGAGGAUGGCGGGGCAGGCCGGUGGGAAGGUGAUGGUGAUGCAGUUUGCACCACGGAGCACAUUAUUUUAGGGAAUAAAAGUACUAGUCGUGUCGUCUCUUUUAAGUUAAAUGUCUCUGUUAUAUGCCUUUAAAACAUCCUGACUAAUUCACACAUCUCCUUAGUGACAGAGGUGAAGUUCAUUGGAUAAGGAUUAAGGCACAGCUGGAAGAGCUUAUCUGGACUAUUCCAGGCCCGGGGCUGGGUGGGGGGUGGAUCGGAGCACAGAUAGGCUUUAAUCUCCCCGCCCCCUUGCUGUGGGGGGACACAGAGCAAGUAAAGGGACCGACAGGGUCAGGAGGCUUGGGGCUGGACAGCGAGGGACUUCUCUGAUCGAGGGACUUCUCUGAUCGAGACGGAGCCAGAGAAGGAGCCAUGCGGAGGAAGUGUUAAAUGAAAAUCAGCGAAAAGCCUCGUGAUAUCUGUCCGUCGCCAGCCUUUAUCCUCCAGAACUCUCCCUUGGUGAAAUAAAAAAGCCAGCAAGCUAAUGAGGCCAACUUUUGGCGAGGUCUUAGGUCUGAGUUCUGCCUUCUGUGAAUUUGGUUUUUCUGUUUUUCUCUGUACCACGCCUUCCCUUGGUUUCAUUCUUUCUUUCUUUCUUUCUUUUUUUUUUUUUAAGCUUAUCUUUGAAAAGGUCCCACUUGGUCUUCACGACUUGAGGCUCUGCAGGGGCAGUGGUCCCCACUGCCUGCAAGUUCCCAGGGCAGCAGGUCCCCUAGCAACCACAGCCAGAGGAUGGCCACAUAAAAUCUCUCCCACAUUCAAGACAGGAUGGGCUGCAUAUGCGUCCCCCUUUCACCUUUAUAAUCAGAAUGUUUUAUUGAACCUACUUUCCUGCAGGAAAAUGCGGGGGUGAGACAGCCGCCCUGGGCCCCACCGGCCCUGGGAAACAGCCCCCACCCGGCUCUGCGAAACGCUGGGUCUUUUCGGGCUUUGCAGCCAAGUGACCACUAGAGGGCGAGCUAGCCCCACGUGCCGAGCCUGCCCAGGGGAUGGCGGCAGGACCCAGGGUCCUUGCCUGGUUUCCCAGGGUGGGGAGGUUCACCUUCAAAUGCGCCUGGGAAACAGGAGGAAGCUCCCCUUCCAGGGCAGGCAAGUGGGCCUCUUUCCCCGCCCCCCGCCCCCUGCUGACCAGGUUCUCUCUAUUGAGAACCUGCUGUGAUCCUGGGUACUGGGGACACAGCCACCACUGUGGCGUGUGGGGACAGUUCCUGCCCUGGUGGGGACUGCAUUCUAGGGAGGAGAGGCCACGGGACAUAAAAAUGCUGUCCGACCCCAAGAAAAACAAGGGGAGAGGCUUAAGGGUUGGAGGGCGCCCUUUCAUGUCUGGGCUGAGACCGAGUCUGGGCGAAGGAUGGACACCUGCCUCGCUCACAAGCAAAGAGCUGGCUCGUGUCACACCAGAAACGGGCUGGUUAUUCCAAGGAGCCGGCAGCCCCCUUUUCCUUCCUCUUCCUCCCUAGACUCCUGGUCUGAGAGCCUCAGGGCCCUUUUCCUGCCCCCCUCAGACCAAAACCAAUUCUGACGGAAGGUUCUGGCAGAAGUAUUUCAAACUAAGAAGUACAUUCUAGAAGUCAAAGGCCACAUCCUCUGGGGGCGGGGGGGGGGGGGGGGGGGGUGGUCAACACCUUGAGUGUGUACCUGAGAGGGGCUUCUAGCAUCCAAACCAGAUGUGACAGGUGCUUUUGGGCAAAGUGGUGGUCUUCCCAGAGCCCACGAUCACGCAGAGACGGCCCUCAGGGCGAGAUGGUGGCGUUUCGCCAGCUGACCCCCCCCCACAGCAUCUUGUCCUGUGUGGGCAGCUGUCCACCCCGAGUGACCACUGCUGACGGAAGUCGGCCCUGCUGGGUGCUGGGACAUUAUCUUUGUCCUCCUAGAAAAGCAUUGAAACGUGCCGGCUGGACAGCCACCUCCUCAGAUGACCCUGGGGCUACUUGAGGUCACAGCCGUGGUUCUGGAGGACAGGCCAGGAGGAGAAGGUGGAGCCGGGAGGGGGGGGUGGCACUGGAGAAAACUUAGGGCACAAACGAGGCCACAAGGUGUCAUCACGGCAGUGGUCUGAACCUUCUUUUGCCCACAGUCAGAAGUACGUUUUAUCGUGCUCCAGCACAUACGCACGUAGGAUUAAAAACCGCUUCUCACAAAACGGUGUUUACCCUGGCGUGUGCAUGCUCUUUUCAAUCCGACUCUUGUUUGUUGUAAAAGGCCGCUUUAUCUGCCCCGCACAGCUGGUCGCAUGACGGGGCAGGCGUGGGAGACGUGGUUGGACUUUGGAAAGCACCACCCUAGAUGGUCAUAAGCGCAGGAUGGCUUUGGAUCGCCUGCCGAGCGAGCGAGUCUGGCUGGAAACUUCAGGGCGCAGAGACUCAGUGGGGCGGACGGAGGCCUUGGGGUCUUGCCAGAGACGCGGAAUGAUGGACGUGGGGACCGUUGCUAAGAGCAGCUCAAGAUCGUGACCGAGGUCGUGUGUACUUUGCACACCCAAAUACGUGCAAUUUCCUGUUCACCGUUCAAUUAAAAUACUAACAUUCCAUCAGCAGCGGAGGGCGGGGAUUCUGGGCUGGAGGCUUUACAUCUGGGUUCUUGAAACCCGGCUCUGUCCCUCUGUCCGGGUCUAAGGAGAGCCGUUUGAAAUGCGAAUGAGCUUCCCGCAAAGUUGAUUUAACUGGUCAAACUUUCCCACCAUCUCCGCGGAGCAUCACAGAGCGCUCUUCUCUUCUCUCCCAGCAACUGGAGUUUAUUUUUCAAAUAAAAGUCUGUUUUCCCAUAAAAUGCCAAAGGUUUGGUACUCUGUGUAGCGGAAUGAACUUGGGCUUUAAAGACUUUAAUUUGGAGCCUGCAAGUCUUCGAUUCUCGUGCCAAGGGCUUCCCGGGGCUGAGAACCUCCUGCCUCCUGGCCCCGCAGAAGCCCCAGCCCGGGCACGCUCCACGAAUCAGGGUCAGACCGGAGUGACUUAGGCCUUGGCUCUUGGAUCUGGAACGUGAGGCUGGUGGCCCUGCAGAACUGCCACGCCGACACCAGUCUUCUCGUAAAGCAGGCUGUUUAUGUGACCAGCAGGAUGGAACCACUCUGAGUGUUUAAAACAGAUGAGGCUGAGUGAUUAUCCGGUUAUAAAGGUGCAGGAGGAGCUAAGCCAAGCAAGAGAGGCCAUCCAGGGACUAGUGGGGAAGUUUCUAGGUCCCUGAUCGGAGAGGUAAAGGAGGAGGCAGUGAGGGCAGGAGGAGGGCACUCAGGGUGACCUGGGGAGAGCUGGCUGUCAGGCAGGAUCAGGGGUCCGAGAUGCUCCCUAAAGCCAGAAGCCAGCCGAGAAGGGAACCUGGGCAUUGCGGCUGCAGGGUCAGCCCCGUGUGUGCCAGGCAGAGCGGGGGAUGGGUAAGGAGCGGGAAUGAGGGCCAGUGGCAUGAUGCCAGCGCCUAGAUGAAUGCAGGUACUGGUGCCUGCGAUGUGAGAGCAGACCGGUCCAGGCACGCGCACCCCCAGCCCCCAGCCCUGCAGAGUUGGGAAACCUUCUCUUUCAGGGCGACAGAAGCAGGCAUUCUUAGGGAAACUUUGGUGCCACCUCCGUGGACAGGAAUCAGUUCUAGAAAGACGUCCCUAAUGUGGGUUGCAGGUCCCCGGGUUUGAGGGGUCCCGGGUGAGGUUCUGCGGGGCAGUGCUGGGGGGAGGUGGGGCGGCCGCUCGGGACAUGGGCAGCGAUCGGAGGCCUGCCACUCUGGUCCUGGGGAGCUGGCUCCUGCCUGGAGGCCUGGCAGCCUCCUGGAGUAGCCUCUGGGCAUUUAUCACUAGUGCAGAAGAGUGUGUGCUCAACCACGAAACAGAUGCUGUCCACAUGGGGGUGAGAACCCCGGGGAGGGGGCGGGUCUCAGGGCUCCCAGACCCUGUGGGAGCCACCUUGCCGCCUGGGAGAUGAUGGCCAUGGGAGUCUUUUAAAGCAGGCUUGGCCAGCUCUUCCUGUGAAAGGUUGGAUGGUAAAUGUUUUAGGCUUCGUGGGCCACCUGGUCUUGGCCGCCUCAACUCAGCCGCAGACAAAAUGUGAUCUGUGUUCUAACAAAUCUUUAUUUAUAAAAGCAGGUAGCUGACACUAUCGGUCCUGUUUUAACAAAUCUAGUCAUCUCUCCCCCCUUUGACCUCUCAAUGCCUCCUCUAUCUGCUCAAGUUAAAAUUUGCGUUCCCUAGUGGCUCAGUGGGUUAAGGAUCCAGUGUUGUCAGUGCUGUGGCUCGGGUCACUGCUGUGAAGGGGGUUUGAUUCCUGGCCCAGGAACUUCUGCAUGCCAUGGGUGUGGCCAAAAAAAAAAAAAAAAAAAA